rnacentral:tRNA from 1 species
GUCGCAGUAGUUUAAUGGUAAAACAGCUGCUUGCCAUGCAGCUGUUGGGGGUUCGAUUCCCCUCUGUGGCUCCA